UGGGGAAUUUUGGACAAUGGGCGCAAGCCUGAUCCAGCAAUGCCGCGUGCAGGAUGAAGGCCUUCGGGUUGUAAACUGCUUUUGUACGGAACGAAAAGCCUCUCUCUAAUACAGGGGGGUGAUGACGGUACCGUAAGAAUAAGCACCGGCUAACUACGUGCCAGCAGCCGCGGUAAUACGUAGGGUGCAAGCGUUAAUCGGAAUUACUGGGCGUAAAGCGUGCGCAGGCGGUUUUGUAAGACAGUGGUGAAAUCCCCGGGCUCAACCUGGGAACUGCCAUUGUGACUGCAAGGCUGGAGUGCGGCAGAGGGGGAUGGAAUUCCGCGUGUAGCAGUGAAAUGCGUAGAUAUGCGGAGGAACACCGAUGGGAAGGCAAUCCCCUGGGCCUGCACUGACGCUCAUGCACGAAAAGCGUGGGGAGCAAAACAGGAUUAGAUACCCCUGGUAGUCCACGCCCUAAACGAUGUCAACUGGUUGUUGGGGAUUUAUUUCUUCAGUAACGAAGCUAA
rnacentral:rRNA from 1 species